AAUACAUCGGAACGUGCCCAAUCGUGGGGGAUAACGCAGCGAAAGCUGUGCUAAUACCGCAUACGAUCUACGGAUGAAAGCAGGGGAUCGCAAGACCUUGCGCGAAUGGAGCGGCCGAUGGCAGAUUAGGUAGUUGGUGGGGUAAAGGCUCACCAAGCCAACGAUCUGUAGCUGGUCUGAGAGGACGACCAGCCACACUGGGACUGAGACACGGCCCAGACUCCUACGGGAGGCAGCAGUGGGGAAUUUUGGACAAUGGGCGCAAGCCUGAUCCAGCCAUGCCGCGUGCAGGAUAAAGGCCUUCGGGUUGUAAACUGCUUUUGUACGGAACGAAACGGCUCUUUCUAAUACAGAGGGCUAAUGACGGUACCGUAAGAAUAAGCACCGGCUAACUACGUGCCAGCAGCCGCGGUAAUACGUAGGGUGCAAGCGUUAAUCGGAAUUACUGGGCGUAAAGCGUGCGCAGGCGGUGAUGUAAGACAGUUGUGAAAUCCCCGGGCUCAACCUGGGAACUGCAUCUGUGACUGCAUCGCUGGAGUGCGGCAGAGGGGGAUGGAAUUCCGCGUGUAGCAGUGAAAUGCGUAGAUAUGCGGAGG
rnacentral:rRNA from 1 species